ensembl:lncRNA
CACUAGUGCUAUUAUUCAAAGAUCCAGCAGGUGGAGACUUCAUCAAAGAUCUGUGAUCCCCUGAAUAGAUCACAAGUAAAACACACGUUUCCUGGGAAACUGUAGGCUCUUUCGUGCAUUUCUCAGAUCAAAAGUGCAAUUGUUGAUACCACUUGUACAAAUUCCAAAUCAUCUAGUCACGUGUGCACAUCAUUAAAGCAAUUUCUCCCAAUUUCCUUUGAACAAAUUGCAAUUGCUUUGGUACAUUUUGCAAUUGAUAAUGUACAAGUGUCAGCUUUUUUUCACAUUUUCAAUUGCUCAUCUCAUGUUGAAAAUAUAGUAGAUGGUUCUCUCUGGUUGAAUAGUCUUACCCCUCAAAACAUCUAGGCAUUUGUUCCUUGCAUAAGCCUUUACAUGCAAAAUUGUUGAACGGUUUGUCAUCAACUGUCAAGCAUAGUUUUACACAUUUCUAGAAGACCUUUUGUAUAAAACAUUGCAGACAGACCGGGACGUCUGGAUGUGUAGAGACAGCGCUAGAACAGUGCUGGGGGCAAAGUUGUGCCUUAGGUGUGUCCUGUGCUUUUCUAAUUUAGUUUUUUUUUCCGUUUGUGCCCCUCGUCUUUUUCUUACUGUAAAGUAUUUGGGGGGGGGGGGGUUCUUUCAUAAAGUAGCAGUAGUAAAAGCUGGAGAAAACUAUCCUGUCCAGUCUCUUUCAAUCUAUAACCCACAUACAGUAAUAUGAAAAUAGUAUUGACAUUGAUAUAUACCAUAGAAGUGCAGCCUUGUGCAUUUUCAUACAGUAACUCUCAAACUGUAGCCUAAGUUUAUCAUUCUGAUGACACUGACAUGAUCAUUGGCAUGAAUGUUUACUUUUGUGAGAUGUACUAAGCGAUUUAGUGACUGACUAGUUUUAGAGACAUACAGUGCAUCCGGAAAGUAUUCACAGCGCUUCAAUUUUCCACAUUUUGUUAUGUUACAGCCUUAUUCCAAAAUAGAUUAAAUUCAUUAUAUUCCUUAACGUUCUACACACAACAACCCAUAACGACAAAGUGAAAACUUGUUUUUUGCAAAUCUGUUAAAAAUAAAGAACAAAAAGAUAACAUGUACAUAAGUAUUCACAGCCUUUGCUCAAUACUUUGUUGAAGCACCUUUGGCAGUAAUUACAGCCUCAAGUCUUCUUGGAUGUGAUUCCACAAGCGUGGCACGCCUAUUUCUGAGAAGUUUCUCACAUUCCUCUUUGCAGAACCGCUCAAGUUCCAUCAGGUUGGAUGGGGAGCGUCGGUGCACAGCCAUUUUCAGAUCUCUCCAGAGAUGUUCAAUCGGGUUCAGGGCUCUGGCUGGGCCACUCAAGGACAUUCACAGAGUCCCAAAGCCACUCCUUUGUUAUCUUGGCUGUGUGCUUCGGGUCGUUGUCCUGUUGGAAGAUAAACCGUCGCCCCAGUCUGAGGUCCAGAGCGUUGGAGCAUGUUUUCGUCGAGGAUGUCUCUCUGUACAUUGCUGCAUUCAUCUUUCCCUCAAUCCUGACUAGUUUCCCAGUUCCUUCUGCUGAAAAGCAUCCCCACAGCAUGAUGCUGCCACCACCAUGCUUCACUGUAGGGAUGGUAUUGGCCAGGUGAUGAGCAGCGCCUGGUCUCCUCCAGACAUGACGCUUGGCAUUCAGGUCAAAGAGUUCAAUCUUUGUUUCAUCAGACCAGAGAAUUUUGUUUCUCAUGGUCUGAGAGUCCUUCAGGCGGGCUGUCAUGUGCUUUUUACUGAGUGGCUUCCGUCUGGCCACUCUACCAAACAGGCCUGAUUUGUGGAGUGCUGCAGAGAUGGUUGUCCUUCUGGAAGGUUCUCCUCUCUUCAUAGAACAACCCUGGAGCUCUGUCAGAGUGACCAUCGGCUUCCUGGUCACCUCCCUGACUAAGGCCCUUCUCCCCCGAUCGCUCAGUCUGGCUGGGCGGCCAAGCUGUAAGCCAUAAUCAGCAAUAUUAAAAGAAUAAAAGGCUUGCAAUAUUUUAGUUGAUUUGUAAUGAAUCCAGAUUGCAUGACAUUUUUGUUUUUUUAAUUGCAUCACAGAAAAUAAAGAACUUUAUCACAAUAUUCUAAUUUUCCGAGACAGUCCUGUAUAUAGACAGUGUGUGUCUUUCUCAAUGAUGUCCAAUCAACUGAAUUUACAGGUGGACUCCAAUCAAGUUGUAGAAACAUCUCAAGGAUGAUCAGUGGAAACCGGAGGCACCUGAGCUAAGCAUUGACUGUCAUGGCAAAAGCUGUGAAUACUUAUGUACAUGUUAUGUUUUCGUUCUUUAUUUUUAACAGAUUUGCAAAAAAUAGCAAAAAACAGUUUUCACUUUGUCAUUAUGGGUUGUUGUGUGUAGAAUGUUGAGGAAAAUAAUGAAUUUAAUCCAUUUUGGAAUAAGGCUGUAACAUAACAAAAUGUGGAAAAAGUGAAGCGCUGUGAAUACUUUCCGGAUGCACUGUAUCUAUUGUAUAUUGCAGUUUGUACAAAUUGUUCUGAGAAAUGCACUUACUAUUUUGCACCUGUUAGGGAUGGUGUGAAAAACGCAACAAAGCGACUGAGAAAAACUGUAAAAACUGGUGCGUGAGAAGAAAAAAGUCCUGAAUUUAAAACUUUACUGAAGUAAAAGUAAAGAUUGACAUGAUGUUUUAUUCACAACCACAGGGAGUGCUUUUAUGUAUUAGGUAAUAGUUUAUUACAAAAUAUGAAUUGCUUUUGAAAAUUAAUAAGCAACACUUUUGUGCUACUUAAUUUAAUCAUAAAAAAAAUCAAUUUGGGCAGUCCCUUUGAACUGCAGGAAAGUCAGGACCAGGGCCUUGUGGCACUGUGAUGUGGCCUAUGGAAACAUACCUCAGUAUUUGCAUAUUAUGCUUCAGCUCAAAGAAAACACGAGUCAAUCAAAGACGGCAUUUUAAACGUGUCAUAUGUACAGCGUCUUUAACCAAAGCAUGUCAUUCCAGUUCACAUUACUGAGAACACAAACGUGUUUUUUCUCUGUUUGCUAAAAGGGAUUCCACCUACUAGACGAUUAGGAUCAGGGAUUACAUUAUUAGUUUCAGAACAGUAAGUGCCCCAUGCUGUACGCAAAUGAAGAAUUAUCCCCCGCAGCUCCUCUGCACUUAUUUCAAUUGAAAGUGAAUAUCAGUUUUACUGUUUUUGGCUAAUGCAGGCAGAAAAAUCCCUAAAGGGCCACUGCAUAUGGCAUGCUCAUCCCCAAACAGCACAUGGACACAGCUAAAGAGUAGCUUUUUGAACAUAGUGGAGCUAAAGAGUCAGAGUAGGAGUUGGUGGAGACCAAAACAAGAGCUAAAAGGACAUUAAAUAUGGGACUGACAUUCCUCAAGUGGACACAAACAUGCAUACAAUUGAAUGAUCAUGUUGCUCCAUAACUGCUGGAUGAACAAUUUUGCUAUUUUAACUUGAGACUGUUGUGUGCACAGGUCUCUGCUGCUCUGUGAAGUGUUUUAAUCAGUUACUGAGUUUCAAAAACAAGUGCUAGAUAUAGCGUUGAUUCCAGUCUUUGCAUGGGCCUACAUGCACCCUAUUCAACACAUUAAAGUACAUGUUUAUGGGCCCUCUUAUACUAUACUUUCGUUAACAACAAACAAUGCAUUUAGUGGCCUUAUUUACACGCUUUGAUUAGUGGACUUUUCUCAUCCAACAGUGUGCUGAGAGACAUCCCUUUUCCAGUCUUGCACGUGAGUCCCUGCACGUACCACGCGAGUUCGAUAGCAUCCCUCAAAU